GUAAGGAAUAUUGGACAAUGGACGCAAGUCUGAUCCAGCCAUGCCGCGUGAAGGAUUAAGGUCCUCUGGAUUGUAAACUUCUUUUAUAAGGGACGAAAAAAGGCUUUUCUAAGUCGUCUGACGGUACCUUAUGAAUAAGCACCGGCUAACUCCGUGCCAGCAGCCGCGGUAAUACGGAGGGUGCAAGCGUUAUCCGGAUUCACUGGGUUUAAAGGGUGCGUAGGCGGGCAGGUAAGUCAGUGGUGAAAUCCUAGAGCUUAACUCUAGAACUGCCAUUGAUACUAUCUGUCUUUAAUAUUGUGGAGGUAAGCGGAAUAUGUCAUGUAGCGGUGAAAUGCUUAGAUAUGACAUAGAACACCUAUUGCGAAGGCAGCUUACUACGCAUAUAUUGACGCUGAGGCACGAAAGCGUGGGGAUCAAACAGGAUUAGAAACCCUGGUAGUCC
rnacentral:rRNA from 1 species